AUACGUAGGUGACAAGCGUUGUCCGGAAUGACUGGGCGUAAAGGGCGCGUAGGCGGUCUAUUAAGUCUGAUGUGAAAGGUACCGGCUCAACCGGUGAAGUGCAUUGGAAACUGGUAGACUUGAGUAUUGGAGAGGCAAGUGGAAUUCCUAGUGUAGCGGUGAAAUGCGUAGAUAUUAGGAGGAACACCAGUGGCGAAGGCGGCUUGCUGGACAAAUACUGACGCUGAGGUGCGAAAGCGUGGGGAGCGAACAGGAUUAGAUACCCUGGUAGUCCACGCCGUAAACGAUGAAUGCUAGGUGUUGGGGAAACUCAGUGCCGCAGUUAACACAAUAAGCAUUCCGCCUGGGGAGUACGACCGCAAGGUUGAAACUCAAAUGAAUUGGCGGGG
rnacentral:rRNA from 1 species